CCUACGGGGGGCUGCAGUAGGGAAUCUUCCGCAAUGGACGAAAGUCUGACGGAGCAACGCCGCGUGAGCGAGGAAGGUCUUCGGAUCGUAAAGCUCUGUUGUGAGGGAAGAACCCUUAUCGGAGUGACUGCCGAUAAGCUGACGGUACCUCACGAGGAAGCCACGGCUAACUACGUGCCAGCAGCCGCGGUAACACGUAGGUGGCGAGCGUUGUCCGGAAUUAUUGGGCGUAAAGCGCGCGUAGGCGGUCCUUUAAGUCUGAUGUGAAACCUUGGGGCUUACCCUCAAGCGUGCAUUGGAAACUGGGGGACUUGAGUCCAGAAGAGGGGAGUGGAAUUCCACGUGUAGCGGUGAAAUGCGUAGAGAUGUGGAGGAACACCAGUGGCGAAGGCGGCUCUCUGGUCUGGGACUGACGCUGAGGCGCGAAAGCGUGGAGAGCAAACAGGAUUAGAUACCCUUGUAGUC
rnacentral:rRNA from 1 species